rnacentral:lncRNA from 1 species
CUAAUUUUUAUUGAAAAUAUCAUGACACAAAAUUUUCAUUGUCUCCUUUUAUUUUGUUGAUUCUUGUACAUGAAAGCAAACUCUUGUGUUUUAAGUCUUCUUGAUAUACCCACAUCUUGUUUUAAAGUGAAUAAAACUCUCCAAUGAGAAAAACACAAAGUUGCUUCCCUUGAGUAAAUGUAUGAAUAGGUAUUUUAAGGAAACGCGUUUUAAUCCUAGCGGUGCAUUAACCUUUAAAGAUUCUCAAAGUGCCAGUAGUAUAAGUUAGUAUAAGGGAGUUCAUAAAAAGCCAAAAAGCCAAAUAAAUUCCAAGAUCUCAUCAUUGAAUCUAGAUUGGGGAAGGAGGUAGGCCCUCCGACUUCCUACAUGAAGAUGAUUGUUAUCUUAAGGAAAAACUUUAAAAAAAGCAUCAUUGAAUCUAGAUUGGGGAAGGGGGUAGGCCCUCCGACUUCCUACGUGAAGAUGAUGUUUUAAGGGAUACCAUUG